rnacentral:rRNA from 1 species
UACGUAGGGGGCGAGCGUUAUCCGGAUUUACUGGGUGUAAAGGGAGCGUAGACGGCAUAGCAAGUCUGAAGUGAAAGCCCGUGGCUCAACCGCGGAACUGCUUUGGAAACUGUUAAGCUGGAGUACUGGAGAGGCAAGCGGAAUUCCUAGUGUAGCGGUGAAAUGCGUAGAUAUUAGGAGGAACACCAGUGGCGAAGGCGGCUUGCUGGACAGAGACUGACGUUGAGGCUCGAAAGCGUGGGGAGCAAACAGG